GCCGGACUCAGCCUCAUCUCACUCCGCCUUCCUGCGCGUUGUACGGUUGCCAAGGGGACGCACCACUCUCCAGGACCUUCUGGGCGCAUCUGGGGACUAAGAAAAGCCAGAGACAGGUCGGUGGAGAUAGGAGACGAGAUGCUGACCCUGUUCCCCGUGUCCAGAGCAAGGAUUCUCGCCUGCUGUCGUUCGCGGAGGCCCUGGGGUAGAACAUGCCAGACAAGAAGAAGGUUUAACAUUAGACACCUGAGUGGCUGCUGUGAUAAGAUACCAUUAAACAUGAUGGCGUGGUGCUGAUAUGAGAAAGACAGGAUCUUGCUUUGUCGCCCAGGCUGGAGUGCAGUGGCGCAAUCUUGACUCACCGCAACCUCCGCCUCCCACGUUCAAGCAAUUCUCCUGCCUCACCCUCCUGAGUAGCUGGGACUACAGGUGUGUGCCACCACGCCCCACUCAUUUUUAAAAAUCUUUUGUAAAGAGGAGCAUCUUGCUAUGUUGCUCAGGCUGGUGUCAAACUCCUGGCCUCAAGCAAUCCUUCCACCUAGGCCUCCCUAACUGCUGGGAUUACAGGCAUGAGCCACUGCACCCAGACUAAUUUUGUUUUUCCAUUUUCCUUUUAGUCUUCUAAGAUUAUUUCAACAGGAGCAAUUAUUUUUAUUUAUAUUUAAUAACAGAAAUUUGAUUCAUCUAUUGUUUUAGGUCUAUAUGAUACUUUACCAAUUAUAGUUCUUGCCACUGUGAGUUUUCUUUUGUGCUCAUUAUUUCUACUGAACAAAAAAAUCCUCAACCAAUUUUGGGGAGUAGAGGAAGACAGAGAAGAGAAUGGAGAGGGAACAGAUUCAGACAACGUGCAGUGGGAAAAGGAGGUUCAGAGGAGAGACAGGGAAAGAGAUGGGGGAGGCUUGGAAGAGGGAAACCCACAGGAAGAGGCAGAGGGGGAAGACAGGAAGCCUGUGCUUAGGCCGCAUGCCAGGGCCAAAACCUCCUUACGAUGGAAAUGGCAAGGUCAAAACAUACAUCUUUAACUCUCAUACACCAAGAAUUAUUUAAGCAAAUGACCUGUGACAUUCCCUUUCAUAAAUAACACAGAUUCAGCUAUAGUUUUCCAGUCCUUUGUAAAAGUUUUUUCACUUCUAAAAUUGCAUUUGUAAUUGGCUUUUUGUUAUUUCAUAGCAUUCCCCCUAAGUUUUAGAAGAUCAUCAUUUUUAAAUCUCUGGAAAUAACCUAAUAUUGUGUCUUUUUUUUUUCCUGUAUCAUAUGAACCUAUUUUUUUUUGAGACGGAAUCUCACCCUGUCACCCAGACUGGAGUGCAGUGGUGCAAUCUCGGCUCACUGCAACCUCCGCCUCCCAGGUUCAAGCGAUUCCCCUGCCUCAGCCUCCCAAGUAGCUGGGAUUACAGGUGUGCGCCACCACACCCAGCUAAUUUUUCUAUUUUUAGUAGAGACGGGUUUUCACCAUGUUGGCCAGGCUGGUCUCGAACUCCUGACCUCAGGUGUUCCGCCCGCCUUGGCCUUCCAAAGUGCUGGGAUUAUAGGCAUGGGCCACUGUGCAUGUCCCGAACCUAUCAAAUUCUAUCACUUGGAGCCUGUGGGGCUUUUCCUGAUGUGCUUAAGCCUGGGAGGUGGAGCUUGCAGUGAGCCGAGAUCACACCACUGUACUCCAGCUUGGGU
rnacentral:lncRNA from 10 species